GUAAUCUCAGUGCUAUGCCACUUUCACCACUUCUGCUCUUAGUGAUGAGAAGCUGGAUUCCAGCAAGAUCAGAUCACUGGAGUUGUGACAGCUGCCAACAAGAAGCAUCCUGGGGCAUGCUAACAGAGACCUUGGAUGCUCUGAGACUCACAUGCCAAUCAAAAGAAAUUCUUAAUAAACAAAGAAAUCUUCCCUUUGAAAUCUAGAGAGAAUCAUGCUGGAGUGCAGCAGGUGCCCUCUAUCUAAGGAUAUUUGACAGAAAGCACCUAGAAUGAAGGACUGAAGGGUGACAGGACAGAAGAACAGAGUUGGCCAUGACUUUGUGAAUACCUCUGCUGACCAUGGAGAAAGGAAGUAUCUAAUGUCCUGGCUCCCCAUACCUCCAUGCCACUCUGCUCUAACAUGGACAUGUUCUGACUCAUUAAAUGAGUCCUCUGGAAUAGCUGGCCAAAUGAUGUCAGCUGUCUGUUUCUCAUCCUCUGCUUUUAUCUUGCCCAUUCAAUCACUGUAUUAAAGAAGAA